rnacentral:rRNA from 1 species
GAUGAACGCUGGCGGCGUGCCUAAUACAUGCAAGUCGAGCGAACGGACGAGAAGCUUGCUUUUCUGAUGUUAGCGGCGGACGGGUGAGUAACACGUGGAUAACCUACCUAUAAGACUGGGAUAACUUCGGGAAACCGGAGCUAAUACCGGAUAAUAUUUUGAACCGCAUGGUUCAAAAGUGAAAGACGGUCUUGCUGUCACUUAUAGAUGGAUCCGCGCUGCAUUAGCUAGUUGGUAAGGUAACGGCUUACCAAGGCAACGAUGCAUAGCCGACCUGAGAGGGUGAUCGGCCACACUGGAACUGAGACACGGUCCAGACUCCUACGGGAGGCAGCAGUAGGGAAUCUUCCGCAAUGGGCGAAAGCCUGACGGAGCAACGCCGCGUGAGUGAUGAAGGUGUUCGGAUCGUAAAACUCUGUUAUUAGGGAAGAACAUAUGUGUAAGUAACUGUGCACAUCUUGACGGUACCUAAUCAGAAAGCCACGGCUAACUACGUG